UGCAAAAGAAGUAGGUAGCUUAACCUUCGGGAGGGCGCUUACCACUUUGUGAUUCAUGACUGGGGUGAAGUCGUAACAAGGUAACCGUAGGGGAACCUGCGGUUGGAUCACCUCCUUACCUUAAAGAAGC
rnacentral:rRNA from 10 species